rnacentral:misc_RNA from 1 species
UGGUUCUGGCAUCGAUGAAGAACGCAGCGAAAUGCGAUAAGUAGUGUGAAUUGCAGAAUUCCGUGAAUCAUCGAAUCUUUGAACGCACAUUGCGCCCUCUGGUAUUCCGGAGGGCAUGCCCGUUCGAGCGUCAUUUCACCAAUCCAGCCAGGCUGGGUCUUGGGUGCCGCGGACCCGUCCGCGCACCCCAAAGUCUCGUCGGCCGUCCGCGCCCGUCUCACAAGCGUUGUGGAUUUUGAAACUUCCGCUGAGAGAGAUCGGGUGCAGGGGGUCGUCACGGCGGGCCACGUGUCCAGCCGGUACACCUAGAGAUUGACCUCGGAUCGGGUAGGGAUACCCGCUGA